rnacentral:pre_miRNA from 1 species
UUAACUCAAAAUUGUAUGGUAUUGGAACGUUUACCUAAGUUUGCCGCUAGGGGCGCUAUUCCAAUUGCAUAUAAAUUUGAUUGA